rnacentral:rRNA from 1 species
GGGUUGUGAGGUUAAGCGACUAAGCGUACACGGUGGAUGCCCUGGCAGUCAGAGGCGAUGAAGGGCGUGCUAAUCUGCGAUAAGCGCCGGUAAGGUGAUAUGAACCGUUAUAACCGGCGAUACCCGAAUGGGGAAACCCAGUGUGACUCGUCACACUAUCAUUAACUGAAUCCAUAGGUUAAUGAGGCGAACCGGGGGAACUGAAACAUCUAAGUACCCCGAGGAAAAGAAAUCAACCGAGAUUCCCCCAGUAGCGGCGAGCGAACGGGGAGGAGCCCAGAGCCUGAAUCAGCAUGUGUGUUAGUGGAAGCGUCUGGAAAGGCGCGCGAUACAGGGUGACAGCCCCGUACACAAAAGCGCAUGUGCUGUGAGCUCGAUGAGUAGGGCGGGACACGUGGUAUCCUGUCUGAAUAUGGGGGGACCAUCCUCCAAGGCUAAAUACUCCUGACUGACCGAUAGUGAACCAGUACCGUGAGGGAAAGGCGAAAAGAACCCCGGCGAGGGGAGUGAAAAAGAACCUGAAACCGUGUACGUACAAGCAGUGGGAGCCCCACCACUAAGCCAGUGGUGAACUCCACAUACGCAUCCUUUGCUGAGGAUACGGUUAACGGAGCGAAAGCGACGUUCAACCGCAAAACAAGCAGAGGGGGCUUAGUGGUGGGGUGACUGCGUACCUUUUGUAUAAUGGGUCAGCGACUUAUAUUCUGUAGCAAGGUUAACCGAAUAGGGGAGCCGGAGGGAAACCGAGUCUUAAUUGGGCGUUAAGUUGCAGGGUAUAGACCCGAAACCCGGUGAUCUAGCCAUGGGCAGGUUGAAGGUUGGGUAACACUAACUGGAGGACCGAACCGACUAAUGUUGAAAAAUUAGCGGAUGACCUGUGGCUGGGGGUGAAAGGCCAAUCAAACCGGGAGAUAGCUGGUUCUCCCCGAAAGCUAUUUAGGUAGCGCCUCGUGAAUUCAUCUCCGGGGGUAGAGCACUGUUUCGGCUAGGGGGCCAUCCCGGCUUACCAACCCGAUGCAAACUGCGAAUACCGGAGAAUGUUAUCACGGGAGACACACGGCGGGUGCUAACGUCCGUCGUGAAGAGGGAAACAACCCAGACCGCCAGCUAAGGUCCCAAAGUCAUGGUUAAGUGGGAAACGAUGUGGGAAGGCCCAGACAGCCAGGAUGUUGGCUUAGAAGCAGCCAUCAUUUAAAGAAAGCGUAAUAGCUCACUGGUCGAGUCGGCCUGCGCGGAAGAUGUAACGGGGCUAAACCAUGCACCGAAGCUGCGGCAGCGACGCUUAUGCGUUGUUGGGUAGGGGAGCGUUCUGUAAGCCUGUGAAGGUGGCCUGUGAGGGUUGCUGGAGGUAUCAGAAGUGCGAAUGCUGACAUAAGUAACGAUAAAGCGGGUGAAAAGCCCGCUCGCCGGAAGACCAAGGGUUCCUGUCCAACGUUAAUCGGGGCAGGGUGAGUCGACCCCUAAGGCGAGGCCGAAAGGCGUAGUCGAUGGGAAACGGGUUAAUAUUCCCGUACUUGGUGUUACUGCGAAGGGGGGACGGAGAAGGCUAUGUUGGCCGGGCGACGGUUGUCCCGGUUUAAGCGUGUAGGCUGGUUUUCCAGGCAAAUCCGGAAAAUCAAGGCUGAGGCGUGACGACGAGGCACUACGGUGCUGAAGCAACAAAUGCCCUGCUUCCAGGAAAAGCCUCUAAGCAUCAGGUAACAUCAAAUCGUACCCCAAACCGACACAGGUGGUCAGGUAGAGAAUACCAAGGCGCUUGAGAGAACUCGGGUGAAGGAACUAGGCAAAAUGGUGCCGUAACUUCGGGAGAAGGCACGCUGACAUGUAGGUGAAGUGAUUUACUCAUGGAGCUGAAGUCAGUCGAAGAUACCAGCUGGCUGCAACUGUUUAUUAAAAACACAGCACUGUGCAAACACGAAAGUGGACGUAUACGGUGUGACGCCUGCCCGGUGCCGGAAGGUUAAUUGAUGGGGUCAGCGCAAGCGAAGCUCCUGAUCGAAGCCCCGGUAAACGGCGGCCGUAACUAUAACGGUCCUAAGGUAGCGAAAUUCCUUGUCGGGUAAGUUCCGACCUGCACGAAUGGCGUAAUGAUGGCCAGGCUGUCUCCACCCGAGACUCAGUGAAAUUGAACUCGCUGUGAAGAUGCAGUGUACCCGCGGCAAGACGGAAAGACCCCGUGAACCUUUACUAUAGCUUGACACUGAACAUUGAGCCUUGAUGUGUAGGAUAGGUGGGAGGCUUUGAAGCGUGGACGCCAGUCUGCGUGGAGCCGACCUUGAAAUACCACCCUUUAAUGUUUGAUGUUCUAACGUGGACCCGUAAUCCGGGUUGCGGACAGUGUCUGGUGGGUAGUUUGACUGGGGCGGUCUCCUCCUAAAGAGUAACGGAGGAGCACGAAGGUUGGCUAAUCCUGGUCGGACAUCAGGAGGUUAGUGCAAUGGCAUAAGCCAGCUUGACUGCGAGCGUGACGGCGCGAGCAGGUGCGAAAGCAGGUCAUAGUGAUCCGGUGGUUCUGAAUGGAAGGGCCAUCGCUCAACGGAUAAAAGGUACUCCGGGGAUAACAGGCUGAUACCGCCCAAGAGUUCAUAUCGACGGCGGUGUUUGGCACCUCGAUGUCGGCUCAUCACAUCCUGGGGCUGAAGUAGGUCCCAAGGGUAUGGCUGUUCGCCAUUUAAAGUGGUACGCGAGCUGGGUUUAGAACGUCGUGAGACAGUUCGGUCCCUAUCUGCCGUGGGCGCUGGAGAACUGAGGGGGGCUGCUCCUAGUACGAGAGGACCGGAGUGGACGCAUCACUGGUGUUCGGGUUGUCAUGCCAAUGGCACUGCCCGGUAGCUAAAUGCGGAAGAGAUAAGUGCUGAAAGCAUCUAAGCACGAAACUUGCCCCGAGAUGAGUUCUCCCUGAGACUUAAAGUCUCCUGAAGGAACGUUGAAGACGACGACGUUGAUAGGCCGGGUGUGUAAGCGCAGCGAUGCGUUGAGCUAACCGGUACUAAUGAACCGUGAGGCUUAACCUUACAACGCCGAAG